CCUACGGGAGGCUGCAGUGGGGGAUAUUGCACAAUGGGGGGAACCCUGAUGCAGCGACGCCGCGUGGAUGAAGAAGCGCCUCGGCGCGUAAAGCCCUGUCAGCAGGGAAGAAAAUGACGGUACCUGAAGAAGCAGCCCCGGCUAACUACGGGCCAGCAGCCGCGGUAAUACGUAGGGGGCCAGCGUUAUCCGGAUUUACUGGGUGUAAAGGGGGCGCAGACGGGGAUGCAAGCCAGGAGUGAAAGCCCGGGGCCCAACCCCGGGACUGCUGUUGGAACUGCGUGGCUGGAGUGCGGAUGAGGUAGGAGGAAUGUGUGGUGUAGCGGUGAAAUGCAUAGAUAUCACACAGAACACCGAUUGCGAAGGCAGCUCACGAAUCCGCGAUUGACGCUGAUGCACGAAAGCGUGGGUAGCAAACAGGAUUAGAUACCCCUGUAGUC
rnacentral:rRNA from 1 species